GGCACUUUCAUCCCCUGACUGGCACUGUCCCAGUGGGGCUGACUGCAGGGAGGGGCUGGGGGUGAUGCCAGCCUCUGGGGUGGCCCCGGUGCCCUGUCAUGAUGGCCGCUUCCUCCAGGGCUCCCAUCAAAGCAGCUCUGAGAAUGUGGUCCCUCCAUCUGCAGAUUUUGGGAUUUGCUGGCUAGAGCUGCCUUUCUGAACCACCUGGUUUCUCAGGAAGCAGCAGCCUUCCCCCUGAACCUACCCAGCCACUCCCUGGGUGUGAAUUUCCAACCUGGGCACUGGGUACCAUGUACAAACCUCAGAGCUCCCACUGGUCCCCAGUUCAAACAAAACCAGCUCUUCACAAAAUGCACAUGGCAGUCAGAGAAACUUGAGCACUGAAUGGAUAUUCAAGGAUAUCAAAGAUUUUUUUUUUUUCUGAGACAGGGUCUUGCUCUGUUCUCCAGGCUGGAGUGCAGUGGCGCAAUCAUGGCUCAUCGUGGCCUAAAUCUCCUGGGCUCAAGUGAUCCUCCCACCUCAGCCUCCCAAGUAGCUGGGACUACAGGUGCAUGCCAUGACGCUCAGGUGGGGUGAAGCCCAGCGACCAGGG
rnacentral:lncRNA from 1 species